AACGGGUGAGGAACACGUGAAGAAUCUGCCCUCAUUUGGGAUACUUCGGGAAACGGAGCUAAUACCGAAUAUGAAACAUAAGUGGCAUCACUGAGUUUGAAAGUUUUCGAUGAGGGAUGACUUCGCGGCUAUCAGCUAGUUGGUGAGGUAACGGCUCACCAAGGCAACGACGGGUAGCCGGCCUGAGAGGGCGAACGGCCACACUGGGACUGAGACACGGCCCAGACUCCUACGGGAGGCAGCAGUAGGGAAUAUUGCGCAAGGAGGAAACUCUGACGCAGCGACGCCGCGUGCGGGAUGAAGGCCUUCGGGUUGUAAACCGCUUUCAGUAGGGAAGAAGCGAAAGUGACGGUACCUACAAAAGAAGCACCGGCUAACUAUGUGCCAGCAGCCGCGGUAAUACAUAGGGUGCAAGCGUUGUCCGGAAUUAUUGGGCGUAAAGAGCUCGUAGGUCGUUUGUUACGUCGGAUGUGAAAAUCUGAGGCUCAACCUCAGACCUGCAUUCGAUACGGGCAAACUAGAGUUUGGUAGGGGAGACUGGAAUUCCUGGUGUAGCGGUGGAAUGCGCAGAUAUCAGGAGGAACACCAACGGCGAAGGCAGGUCUCUGGGCCAAUACUGACACUGAGGAGCGAAAGCGCGGGGAGCGAACAGGAUUAGAUACCUGGUAGUCCGCGCCGUAAACGGUGGGUACUAGUUGUGGGAACCUUCCACGGUUUCUGCGACGACGCUAACGCAUUAAGUACCCCGCCUGGGGAGUACGAUCGCAAGAUUAAAACUCAAAGGAAUUGACGGGGCCCCGCACAAGCAGCGGAGCAUGCGGCUCAAUUCGAUGCAACGCGAAGAACCUUACCAAGGCUUGACAUAUAGCGAAAAGUGGCAGAGAUGUCAUGUCCGCAAGGGCGCUAUACAGGUGGUGCAUGGUUGUCGUCAGCUCGUGUCGUGAGAUGUUGGGUUAAGUCCCGCAACGAGCGCAACCCUCGUUCUGUGUUACCAGCAUUUAGUUGGGGACUCACAGGAGACUGCCGGGGUUAACUCGGAGGAAGGUGGGGAUGACGUCAAAUCCUCAUGCCCCUUAUGUCUUGGGCUGCACGCAUGCUACAAUGGCCGGUACAGAGGGCUGCGAAACCGUAAGGUGGAGCGAAUCCCAAAAGCCGGUCUCAGUUCAGAUUGAGGUCUUAUG
rnacentral:rRNA from 1 species